rnacentral:rRNA from 1 species
GAUGAACGCUGACAGAAUGCUUAACACAUGCAAGUCUUUGGCGAAGCUGUGCUUGCACAGCCUAGCCCAGGCGGACGGGUGAGUAACGCGUCAGGAACUUGCUCUCCAGUCCGGGAUAACAGACGGAAACGACUGAUAAGACCUGGUAAAGUCAGGCGGACUCAUGUCCAGCCUGAUGAAAAGAGAUGCUGCAGGAGAGCCUUGCGUCCUAUUAUCUUGUUGGUGGUGUAACGGUCCACCAAGGCGAUGGUAGGUAGCCGUCCUGCGGGGGUGGACGGCAACAAGGGGGAUGAGAUACGGCCAUUACUACGACGGGAGGCAGCAGUGAGGAAUAUUGGACAAGGGGGGCAACGCUGAUGCAGCAAUGCUGGGUGCACGAUGAAGGUUUUCGGAUAGUAAAGUGCUUUCAGCAGGGAAGAAAAAAUGACGGUACCUGCAGAAGAAGCGACGGCUAAAUACGUG